rnacentral:rRNA from 1 species
AGCGAACGCUGGCGGCAGGCCUAACACAUGCAAGUCGAACGAACCUUUCGGGGUUAGUGGCGGACGGGUGAGUAACACGUGGGAACGUGCCUUUAGGUUCGGAAUAACUCAGGGAUACUUGUGCUAAUACCGAAUGUGCCCUUCGGGGGAAAGAUUAAUCGCCUUUAGAGCGGCCCGCGUCUGAUUAGCUAGUUGGUUGAGGUAAUGGCUCACCAAGGCGACGAUCAGUAGCUGGUCUGAGAGGAUGAUCAGCCACAUUGGGACUGAGACACGGCCCAAACUCCUACGGGAGGCAGCAGUGGGGAAUCUUGCGCAAUAGGCGAAAGCCUGACGCAGCCAUGCCGCGUGAAUGAUGAAGGUCUUAGGAUUGUAAAAUUCUUUCACCGGGGACGAUAAUGACGGUACCCGGAGAAGAAGCCCCGGCUAACUUCGUG